rnacentral:rRNA from 1 species
AUUGAACGCUGGCGGCAGGCCUAACACAUGCAAGUCGAGCGGAUGAAGGGAGCUUGCUCCUGGAUUCAGCGGCGGACGGGUGAGUAAUGCCUAGGAAUCUGCCUGGUAGUGGGGGAUAACGUCCGGAAACGGGCGCUAAUACCGCAUACGUCCUGAGGGAGAAAGUGGGGGAUCUUCGGACCUCACGCUAUCAGAUGAGCCUAGGUCGGAUUAGCUAGUUGGUGGGGUAAAGGCCUACCAAGGCGACGAUCCGUAACUGGUCUGAGAGGAUGAUCAGUCACCUUGGACUGAGGACCCGGUCAAACUCCCUCCGGGAGGCAGCGUUGGGAAUAUUGGACCAUUGGCGAAAGCCUGAUCCAGCCAUGCCGCGUGUGUGAAGAAGGUCUUCGGAUUGUAAAGCACUUUAAGUUGGGAGGAAGGGCAGUAAGUUAAUACCUUGCUGUUUUGACGUUACCAACAGAAUAAGCACCGGCUAACUUCGUG